UGUAUCCCAAAAUCUAAAAUAAAAAUAAAAUUGGAAUGAUACAGAGAAGAUUAAUAUGGCUCCUGCAAAAGGAUGACAUGCAAAUUUGUGAAGGGUUCCAUAUUUUU